rnacentral:rRNA from 1 species
UAGGGAAUCUUCCGCAAUGGGCGAAAGCUUGACGGAGCAACGCCGCGUGAGUGAUGAAGGUCUUCGGAUCGUAAAACUCUGUUAUUAGGGAAGAACAAAUGUGUAAGUAACUAUGCACGUCUUGACGGUACCUAAUCAGAAAGCCACGGCUAACUACGUGCCAGCAGCCGCGGUAAUACGUAGGUGGCAAGCGUUAUCCGGAAUUAUUGGGCGUAAAGCGCGCGUAGGCGGUUUUUUAAGUCUGAUGUGAAAGCCCACGGCUCAACCGUUGAGGGUCAUUGGAAACUGGAAAACUUGAGUGCAGAAGAGGAAAGUGGAAUUCCAUGUGUAGCGGUGAAAUGCGCAGAGAUAUGGAGGAACACCAGUGGCGAAGGCGACUUUCUGGUCUGUAACUGACGCUGAUGUGCGAAAGCGUGGGGAUCAAACAGG